AUUUGAUUUUUGAUUCAUUUCUAGCAUUCAUAAAGUUUAAAUGAUAUAUUGUCUCAUUUUCAAGAUAAUGACAUUUUUAGAUAUCAUAACAUGCUCUUUUAUGAGGAAGGAUUUUUUCUUAAUCUUUCCUAUGGUACUGACGAAUUCCUUGAGCACCAUGUGCAAAUCCAUCAUAUGGGUUCACGAUUGCACUAUUUACGUUUAGCAGUAGAUCUUCGGGGUUGGUCAAACUUU
rnacentral:lncRNA from 1 species